UACGGAAGGCAGCAGUGGGGAAUAUUGCACAAUAGGCGCAAGCCUGAUGCAGCCAUGCCGCGUGUAUGAAAAAGGCCUUCGGGUUGUAAAGUACUUUCAGUCGUGAGGAAGGUGUUAAGGUUAAUAACCUUAGCAAUUGACGUUAGCGACAGAAGAAGCACCGGCUAACUCCGUGCCAGCAGCCGCGGUAAUACGGAGGGUGCGAGCGUUAAUCGGAAUUACUGGGCGUAAAGGGCACGCAGGCGGUUAAUUAAGUUGGAUGUGAAAUCCCCGGGCUUAACCUGGGAAUGGCAUUCAAGACUGGUUAGCUAGAGUCUUGUAGAGGGGGUAGAAUUCCAUGUGUAGCGGUGAAAUGCGUAGAGAUGUGGAGGAAUACCGGUGGCGAAGGCGGCCCCUGGACAAAGACUGACGCUCAUGUGCGAAAGCGUGGGGAGCAAACAGGGAUUAGAUACC
rnacentral:rRNA from 1 species